rnacentral:rRNA from 1 species
AUCCAUGGCCAGGAUGAAGGUGCGGUAACACGCACUGGAGGUCCGAACCGACUAAUGUUGCAAAAUUAGCGGAUGAGCUGUGGAUAGGGGUGAAAGGCUAAACAAACUUGGAAAUAGCUGGUUCUCUCCGAAAACUAUUUAGGUAGUGCCUCAAGUAUUACCAUCGGGGGUAGAGCACUGUUUAGGCUAGGGGGUCAUGGCGACUUACCAAACCUAUGCAAACUCCGAAUACCGAUGAGUACAGCUUGGGAGACAGUGCACCGGGUGCUAACGUCCGGACACAAGAGGGAAACAACCCAGACCGCCAGCUAAGGUCCCUAAAAUUGGCUAAGUGGGAAACGAAGUGGGAAGGCUAAAACAGUCAGGAUGUUGGCUUAGAAGCAGCCAUCAUUUAAAGAAAGCGUAAUAGCUCACUGAUCGAGUCGUCCUGCGCGGAAGAUGUAACGGGGCUCAAGCCACGAGCCGAAGCUGCGGAUAUGUCGUAAGACAUAUGGUAGGGGAGCGUUCUGUAAGUCUGCGAAGGUGUCUGGUAACGGAUGCUGGAGAUAUCAGAAGUGCGAAUGCUGACAUGAGUAGCGUUAAAGGGGGUGAAAAGCCCCCUCGCCGAAAGCGCAAGGUUUCCUACGCAACGUUCAUCGGCGUAGGGUGAGUCGGCCCCUAAGGCGAGGCAGAGAUGCGUAGCUGAUGGGAAACAGGUCAAUAUUCCUGUACCGAUCUAUAGUGCGAUGUGGGGACGGAGAAGGUUAGCUCAGCCAACUGUUGGAAUAGUUGGUUCAAGCCUGUAGUCGUGCCUGGUAGGCAAAUCCGCCGGGCUGAGAUGAGGGGUGAUAACGGGUCUGCUUGCAGACGAAGUGAGUGAUACCCUGCUUCCAGGAAAAGCCACUAAGCUUCAGCUAUAGACGACCGUACCGCAAACCGACACUGGUGCGCGAGAUGAGUAUUCUAAGGCGCUUGAGAGAACUCUGGAGAAGGAACUCGGCAAAUUGACACCGUAACUUCGGAAGAAGGUGUGCCUUAAGUAGGUGAACCUGUACAAGGGGAGCCGAACAAGGUCGCAGAGAAUCGGUGGCUGCGACUGUUUAAUAAAAACACAGCACUCUGCAAAGACGAAAGUCGACGUAUAGGGUGUGACGCCUGCCCGGUGCUGGAAGAUUAAUUGAUGGGGUGCAAGCUCUUGAUCGAAGUCCCAGUAAACGGCGGCCGUAACAAUAACGGUCCUAAGGUAGCGAAAUUCCUUGUCGGGUAAGUUCCGACCUGCACGAAUGGCGUAACGAUGGCCACACUGUCUCCUCCAGAGACUCAGCGAAGUUGAAAUGUUUGUGAUGAUGCAAUCUCCCCGCGGAAAGACGGAAAGACCCCAUGAACCU